ACCAGCUAAAGUGUCCCAAAUAGGACGAAACGCGCAUCGUGGAU
rnacentral:hammerhead_ribozyme from 1 species